GGAUCUAUAAGCUCAAAAAUGGUAAGAGCACUCAUUAGUUGAGAGGUUGAUGGUUCGAAUCCAUCUAGAUCCA
rnacentral:tRNA from 1 species